AUUGAACGCUGGCGGCAUGCUUUACACAUGCAAGUCGAACGGUAACAGGCCGCAAGGUGCUGACGAGUGGCGAACGGGUGAGUAAUGCAUCGGAACGUGCCCAGUCGUGGGGGAUAACGCAGCGAAAGCUGCGCUAAUACCGCAUACGAUCUAUGGAUGAAAGCGGGGGACCGUAAGGCCUCGCGCGAUUGGAGCGGCCGAUGUCAGAUUAGGUAGUUGGUGGGGGUAAAGGCUAACCAAGCCGACGAUCUGUAGCUGGUCUGAGAGGACGACCAGCCACACUGGGACUGAGACACGGCCCAGACUCCUACGGGAGGCAGCAGUGGGGAAUUUUGGACAAUGGGCGCAAGCCUGAUCCAGCAAUGCCGCGUGCAGGAAGAAGGCCUUCGGGUUGUAAACUGCUUUUGUACGGAACGAAAAGGCUCUGGUUAAUACCUGGGGCUCAUGACGGUACCGUAAGAAUAAGCACCGGCUAACUACGUGCCAGCAGCCGCCGUAAUAC
rnacentral:rRNA from 1 species